rnacentral:rRNA from 1 species
GACAGAGGAGUCAAGCGUUGUCCGGAUUGACUGGGCGUAAAGCGCACGCAGGCGGACGCGCGCGUGGGGUGUGAAAUCUGGCCGCUUAACGGCCAGGCGCCAUCCCAUAUGGCGCGUCUGGAGUGAUGCAGAGGUCGAUGGAAUUGCCGGUGUAGUGGUGAAAUGCGUAGAGAUCGGCAGGAACACCCAGGGGGAAACCAGUCGACUGGGCAUCUACUGACGCUGAGGUGCGAGAGCGUGGGGAGCGAACCGG